rnacentral:rRNA from 1 species
AGCAGCCGCGGUAAUUCCAGCUCCAAUAGCGUAUAUUAAAGUUGCUGCAGUUAAAAAGCUCGUAGUUGAAUUUCGGGACCAUCAUGUCGGUCGUGCCUCGGUACGUACUGGCAUUGUUGGUUUCUCCCUUCUGACGAACCAUGAUGUCAUUAAUUUGAUGUCAUGGGGAAUCAGGACUGUUACUUUGAAAAAUUAGAGUGUUUAAAGCAGGCUCGCGCUUGAAUACAUUAGCAUGGAAUAAUGAAAUAGGACAUUUGAUUCUAUUUUGUUGGUUUCUAGGAUCGAUGUAAUGAUUAAUAGGGAUAGUUGGGGGCAUUAGUAUUCAAUUGUCAGAGGUGAAAUUCUUGGAUUUAUUGAAGACUAACUACUGCGAAAGCAUUUUGCCAAGGAUGUUUUCAUUAAUCAAGAACGAAAGUUAGGGGAUCGAAGACGAUC